GGUGGGAGCGGGCUUGCUCGCGAAGGGGCCGGCAUAUCCAGCAUUUUUCUCGACUGGACCGACGCCUUCGCGGGCAAGCCCGCUCCCACA
rnacentral:antisense_RNA from 1 species